UACGGUAGGGGGCUAGCGUUGUCCGGAAUCAUUGGGCGUAAAGAGCGUGUAGGCGGUCCGGUAAGUCCGCUGUGAAAGUCGGGGGCUCAACCCUCGAAUGCCGGUGGAUACUGUCGGGCUAGAGUGCGGAAGAGGCGAGUGGAAUUCCUGGUGUAGCGGUGAAAUGCGCAGAUAUCAGGAGGAACACCUAUUGCGAAGGCAGCUCGCUGGGACGUUACUGACGCUGAGACGCGAAAGCGUGGGGAGCAAACAGG
rnacentral:rRNA from 1 species